rnacentral:rRNA from 1 species
AUUGAACGCUGGCGGAAUGCUUUACACAUGCAAGUCGAACGGCAGCACGGGGGCAACCCUGGUGGCGAGUGGCGAACGGGUGAGUAAUACAUCGGAACGUGCCCAGUCGUGGGGGAUAACGUAGCGAAAGUUACGCUAAUACCGCAUACGAUCUACGGAUGAAAGCGGGGGACCGUAAGGCCUCGCGCGAUUGGAGCGGCCGAUGUCAGAUUAGGUAGCUGGUGAGGUAAAGGCUCACCAAGCCGACGAUCUGUAGCUGGUCUGAGAGGACGACCAGCCACACUGGGACUGAGACACGGCCCAGACUCCUACGGGAGGCAGCAGUGGGGAACUUUGGACAAUGGGCGCAAGCCUGAUCCAGCCAUUCCGCGUGCAGGACGAAGGCCUUCGGGUUGUAAACUGCUUUUGUACGGAACGAAAAGGCUCUGGCUAAUACCUGGGGCUCAUGACGGUACCGUAAGAAUAAGCACCGGCUAACUACGUGCCAGCCGCCGCGGUAA